rnacentral:pre_miRNA from 9 species
UCUCGAUCGCGUAAAAGUUAACUCCAAUUUGUAUUGAGUUGGAACGUGUGCCUGCGUUUGCCGUUAGGGGCGCUGUUCCAACUGCAUACAAAUUUGAAUAACUUUUACGCGAUCGA